rnacentral:rRNA from 1 species
CGUGUCGUGAGAUGUUCGGUUAAGUCCGGCAACGAGCGCAACCCACAUCCCCAGUUGCCAGCAGGUCAAGCUGGGCACUCUGUGGAAACUGCCCGUGAUAAGCGGGAGGAAGGUGUGGAUGACGUCAAGUCCUCAUGGCCCUUACGGGUUGGGCUACACACGUGCUACAAUGGUGGUGACAAUGGGUUAAUCCCCAAAAGCCAUCUCAGUUCGGAUUGGGGUCUGCAACUCGACCCCAUGAAGUCGGAAUCGCUAGUAAUCGCGGAUCAGCAUGUCGCGGUGAAUACGUUCCCGGGUCUU